GAGGUGAAAUGCGUAGAGAUUGGGAAGAACACCAGGUGGCGAAGGCGCUCUACUGGGCCGGUACUGACACUCAGGCGACGAAAGCUAGGGGAGCGAAAGGGAUUAGAUAUCCCCUGUAGUCCUAGCCGUAAACGAUGGGAUACUAGGCGUAGCUUGUAUCGACCGCAAGCUGUGCCGUAGCUAAACGCGUUAAGUAUCCCGCCUGGGGAGUACGCAACGCAAGUGUGAAACUCAUAAGGAAUUGACGGGGGCCCGCAACAAGCGGUGGAGUAUGUGGUUCUAAUUCGAUGCAACGCGAAGAACCUUACUCAGGACUUGACAUGGGCGCGA
rnacentral:rRNA from 1 species